rnacentral:tRNA from 1 species
GGGCAAUUAGCUCAGUUGGAUAGAGCGUUGGCCUCCGGAGCCAAAAGCCGCGGGUUCGAAUCCUGCAUUGCCCACCA